AACUCCUGCCGAUGGAUAUCUUGGCUCUCGCAACGAUGAAGAACGCAGCGAAAUGCGAUACGUAGUGCGAAUUGCAGAAUUCAGUGAAUCAUCGAACCUUUGAUCCUUUAUUCAUGGCA
rnacentral:rRNA from 1 species